UACGUAGGGUGCAAGCGUUAAUCGGAAUUACUGGGCGUAAAGCGUGCGCAGGCGGUUCGUUAAGUCAGAUGUGAAAGCCCCGGGCUCAACCUGGGAACUGCAUUUGAAACUGGCGGGCUUGAGUGUGGCAGAGGGGGGUGGAAUUCCGCGUGUAGCAGUGAAAUGCGUAGAGAUGCGGAGGAACACCGAUGGCGAAGGCAGCCCCCUGGGCCAACACUGACGCUCAGGCACGAAAGCGUAGGGAGCAAACAGG
rnacentral:rRNA from 1 species